GCAGACACAUUCCAGCCAAUCAGCAGCAGACCCUCCCUCCCAGACCCUCCCAGAUCCUCCCACCUCCUGGACAGCUCACUAAGAAUGCAGCUUCACAAUGGAUGCUGUCCAGGAGGUGGGAGGGUCUGGGAGAGAGGGUCUGCUGCUGAUUGGCUGGAAUGUGUCUG